GCUUGGAGCUGAACACAGGUGUUGUUGAGCUGGAGAAUUCCCAGGAAUCCUCUCCAGGCUACUCGACCCAACAGGGAAACUGGCCAUGGGUUGGUUCCCCUUUGCAGUCCAAUGAGCCGGAUAAAAACUGAAGGGACUCUUGGCUGUGGGAUGUGCUUCCUUCUGCUCCCCAGCAUUAAACAAGCUGUUCCUGAGGCAAACGUCCCCCAUGCUGCAUCCAUCAUUUCCCCCUGCCAUAAGUCACCUUGAGGUCACUGUGUUAUUACACUGUACAAUUUACAUUUGACAUUUAAAGGCAACUCUUCAUGAUCUUUUCAGCUAUGAUGUAUGUAUUUUAUAUUUUACAUCUGUGGCUAU